rnacentral:rRNA from 1 species
AAAUAGAUACCCCCGGUAGUCCACGCCGUAAACGAUGAGUGCUAAGUGUUAGAGGGUUUCCGCCCUUUAGUGCUGCAGCUAACGCAUUAAGCACUCCGCCUGGGGAGUACGGCCGCAAGGCUGAAACUCAAAGGAAUUGACGGGGGCCCGCACAAGCGGUGGAGCAUGUGGUUUAAUUCGAAGCAACGCGAAGAACCUUACCAGGUCUUGACAUCCUCUGCCAACCCUAGAGAUAGGGCGUUCCCCCUCGGGGGACAGAGUGACAGGUGGUGCAUGGUUGUCGUCAGCUCGUGUCGUGAGAUGUUGGGUUAAGUCCCGCAACGAGCGCAACCCUUGAUCUUAGUUGCCAGCAUUCAGUUGGGCACUCUAAGGUGACUGCCGGUGACAAACCGGAGGAAGGUGGGGAUGACGUCAAAUCAUCAUGCCCCUUAUGACCUGGGCUACACACGUGCUACAAUGGAUGGUACAAAGAGCUGCGAACCCGCGAGGGUAAGCCAAUCUCAUAAAGCCAUUCUCAGUUCGGA